UAGGGAAUCUUCCACAAUGGACGCAAGUCUGAUGGAGCAACGCCGCGUGAGUGAAGAAGGUUUUCGGACCGUAAAGCUCUGUUGUUGGUGAAGAAGGAUAGAGGUAGUAACUGGCCUUUAUUUGACGGUAAUCAACCAGAAAGUCACGGCUAACUACGUGCCAGCACGCCGCGGUAAUCGUAGGUGGCAAGCGUUGUCCGGAUUUAUUGGGCGUAAAGCGAGCGCAGGCGGAAGAAUAAGUCUGAUGUGAAAGCCCUCGGCUUAACCGAGGAAUUGCAUCGGAAACUGUUUUCUUGAGUGCAGAAGAGGAGAGUAGAACUCCAUGUGUAGCGGUGGAAUGCGUAGAUAUAUGGAAGAAUACCAGUGGCGAAGGCGGCUCUCUGGUCUGCAACUGACGCUGAGGCUCGAAAGCAUGGGUAGCGAACAGGAUUAGAUACCCUGGUAGUCCAUGCCGUAAACGAUGAGUGCUAAGUGUUGGG
rnacentral:rRNA from 1 species